rnacentral:rRNA from 1 species
UACAGAGGUCCCGAGCGUUGUUCGGAUUCACUGGGCGUAAAGGGUGCGUAGGUGGUGAGGUAAGUCGGAUGUGAAAGCUCCAAGCUCAACUUGGAAAUGGCAUUGGAAACUACCUUGCUAGAGGGUUUGAGGGGGGACUGGAAUACUUGGUGUAGCAGUGAAAUGCGUAGAUAUCAAGUGGAACACCAGUGGCGAAGGCGAAUCCCUGGAAAACACCUGACACUGAGGCACGAAAGCUAGGGGAGCAAACAGG